rnacentral:pre_miRNA from 1 species
UAGUUACUCCCUUCGUCCGGAAAUACUUGUCAUCAAAAUGAAUAAAAGGGGAUGUAUCUAGAUGUAUUUUAGUUCUAGAUACAUCCUUUUUUGUCCAUUUUGAUGACAAGUAUUUUCGGACGGAGGGAGUACAUU